AUUUGGAAAUUGUGCUUCGAAGGUUUUCCGUUAUAUUGCCGAUUUUUCGUAAUCGGCCGAAUAACACUGUCAGUUGAAUCCCCCGAAGUGCGUGGAAUGGUCCAUUUUCAGUUUCUUCAUUGGAUUUCGGAUUAAAAACAAUCCUUUUAAAACAAUAAUUCGCAUUCAUCUCUAUAAUAUAAAUAAAUCUAAUCCAUGCGUAUGCAAACUAGCUAUGGAAUCUACCAACAUUACAACAUGUUUAUCAAUGAUGUAUGAUACCCUAGCAUGACAAUAGCCUGCUCUAAGGAAUUGCUAAGAGUAAGAUGGCGGACGACGAAAAGGACCCGAUAGGGGAAUCGGAUCAGCAAAACGUCGUUGAAAAGGAUAUUUUUGUUAAUGGCGAUGCAGACGAUAAACACGAGGAGAGUGAACCAGAACCGUGCAGUUCACUAAAUAUUCCCGAGCAGGUUUUACCUCGACGCAGCAGCCUGAUGAACAAGGAUGGAGCUGGGAGACGUCCUCAGCGGAAGAAGACUGUAUCUUUCAGUAGCAUGCCUACUGAACGGAAAAUAGCAACCGCUCAAGACUGUUUGGCGUACAUGCAGACCGGAAGUGACUUGAUAAAGGUUCGCUCCAACAGUCGGCAGUAUCACCGCUUCUUCACGCUUGGCAGCGACAUGACUGAGAUUCGAUGGCAGCCCACGUCGAAGAAACCGCACAAGGCUCGCAUUGCUGUGAAUACCAUAAAGGAAGCAAGGCAGGGUAAAACGACGGACGCGUUACGGAAUAAGGAGAUUGCGGGAAUUUACCCCGACGAGUGCGCAUUCUCGAUAAUAUUCGGGGAGGAGUUUGAGUCGAUGGAUUUGAUUGCCAACACGCCAGAUGAGGCCAACAUCUGGGUGACCGGUCUCACCUGUCUCAUCAACGCCAACACCAAGUCUAACUGUUCAAAUGCAAUAGAAGAAAUGCAACAAAUGAGAAAUUCGUGGUUGCUAGAACUGUUUGAGAAGGCCGACUCACUCAACUCCGGGGUCCUUGAUGAAAACGAAGUCGUUAACCUGAUGCGUAAAAUCAACGCAACCGUCACCAUACCAGUCAUAUACCAGAAGUUAAAGGAGUUGGAAAUUAAGCGUGGUGAUGGUAAACGAGGUCGACUAACGAGUGAUGAAUUCAUAUCUCUUUUCAAGGAGAUCUCGACACGGCCAGAAAUCUAUUUUCUUCUUGUUAGGUACGCAAGCAAUGCAGAUUAUAUGUCAACAGACGACUUGUUACUAUUUUUAGAAGCAGAGCAAGGGAUGCAAAGAGUGACGAAAGACAAAUGUCUGGAAAUAAUCAACAAUUUCGAACCCUCCAAAGAAGGAAGAAGAAAAGGACAGCUUGGAAUAGACGGAUUUACUGCAUACCUGCUGUCUACAGAAUGUGAUAUUUUUGACAUGGAACAUAAAACAGUGUGCCAAGAUAUGACCCAGCCCCUGAAUCACUACUUUAUAGCAAGUUCUCAUAACACGUACUUGUUAGAGGAUCAGCUGAAAGGCCCGUCUAGCGUCGACGGUUACAUAAGUGCUCUGAGGAAGGGAUGUCGGUGUGUCGAAUUGGACUGCUGGGAUGGUCCGAACGACGAGCCGAUCAUCUACCACGGUCACACGCUGACGUCCAAGAUCUCCUUCAGAUCAGUUGUGGAGGCCAUCAAACAAUACGCUUUCGAAGUCUCUGACUAUCCUGUGAUAAUAUCGAUAGAAAACCAUUGUAAUAUCAAACAGCAGCAGGUUAUGGCGGCCUGUCUGAAGGAGAUCCUGGGUGACAAGCUCUGCGUGGAACCCAUCCCAGAAAACUUACAGUGUGCCCCCUCACCUGAAGAUAUGAAAAGUAAAAUACUGAUCAAGGGGAAGAAACUCCCUAUAAACUCGGACUGCAACGAGGGCUAUGUGACGGACGAGGAUGAGGGGGCCGAACCCGAUAAGAAGAAAAGCAAUAAGAGGGAAGGCUCGGUGAAGAAGCAGAAACUGGCCAAGGAGUUGUCUGACAUGGUGAACUACUGUGUGUCGAGGAGGUUUGAAGAUUUCCAGAUCUCGCAGCAACACCAAAAGUUUUGGGAGAUGUGUUCCUUCAGCGAGUCCCAGGCCCUGAAACUGGCGAUGUCGUGUCCGGAGGAAUUUGUCAACCACAACAAGCACUUCCUGUCUCGAAUCUACCCGAACGCCAUGCGUAUCGACUCCAGUAACUACAACCCUCACGACCUCUGGAACUGUGGAUGUCAAAUGGUGGCAUUAAACUACCAAACAGCCGGUCUGAUGAUGGAUCUGUACGACGGCUGGUUCAAUAAGAACGGAGGCUGCGGCUACGUGUUGAAACCCGCCAUAAUGCGAGAGGAAAUCGCCUACUUCAGUGCGAACACACGGGACGUUAUUCCCGGAGUGUCACCACAGAUUCUUCAUAUCAAGAUAAUCAGUGGUCAGAACUUCCCUAAGCCGAAGGGUUCGGCCUCGAAGGGCGACGUCACAGACCCGUACAUACGGAUAGAGAUCUUUGGGAUCCCUGCAGACUGCGCAGAGGAGAGGACGAAAACCAUGCCACAUAACGGCUAUAACCCAAUAUUUGAUAUGAGUUUUGAGUUUCAAGUGAACCUUCCAGAGCUGGCUCUUGUUCGUUUCGCUGUUCUAGAUGACGAAUAUAUAGGAGACGAAUUCAUUGGGCAAUACACCAUUCCCUUUGACAGUAUGUUGACAGGUUACCGACACAUACGACUGUUAUCUAACACCGGGACACCUCUCUCCAACUGUACUCUGUUUGUCCACGUCUCAAUAACCAACAAACGAGGAGGAGGGUCUUCCAAGAGAGGUUUGUCGAAGAAGACGAAGCGAUCCCGAGAUUACACCAGUAUGAAGUCCAUCGGAGUGAAGAGCAUCGAUGAAACAUUCAAAGUUGCUAUUCAGCCGUUACGAGAAGGAACCGAUCUCCGUGACAACGUUCAGUUCGCUCUGUCCAAUUUCAAAGAGAAAUGUGGUCUGUCUCCUAUCGCUAACAUCAAACAGUGCAUCCGUCUCCUAGCAACGCGGAUACACCACACUGUAGAGCACGUCACACUGACGUACAUAAUGAGAGGCGAUGUAAGCACUGUUAGAUUUGUUAAGUGUAAACAGUGGCAGGGGUGUUUUUAGAGUGUCAAAAUAUGGACCCUCAAAAUGGCAGACUUGCGUUGUUGUCUCGCAUUUACGAAAUUAAAAGUUAUGCAAAAAUAAUUUUACUUUUCUAACAGCGGUGGUGACACGGUCAACUUUUUUAACAGCGGUGGUGACACGGUCAACUUUUUUAACAGCGGUGGUGACACGGUCAACUUUUCUAACAGCGGUGGUGACACGGUCAACUUUUCUAACAGCGGUGGUGACACGGUCAACUCUUGCUAUCCAUCACUGGAAGCUCAAGGCACACUGCCGGAGAUUCACAAGAAAGCGUUGCUGUCGUUUGACGAUUUCAUAAAUGAAUGCAAAGUACUAAUUGAGACGUCAGACCUUGUUUAUG
rnacentral:misc_RNA from 1 species